rnacentral:rRNA from 1 species
CUGACCGAGCACGCCGCGUGAGUGAAGAAGGUUCUUCGGAUCUGUAAAGCUCUGUUGUAAGAGAAGAACGAGUGUGAGAGUGGAAGGUUCACACUGGGCCGGUCUCUUACCAAAAAGGGACGGCUAAUUACAUGCCAGCAGCC